UUUCCCCCUUUGUCUCUGUUUUUGUUCCAACCCAAAUGAAAAAAAGUUAGUGUUUAUGCAAAUUUUACAUUAGACAUCCAAAGGCCAUUUCAUCGAUUUUAAACAAUCAUAAAAAGCAAAAGAAAAACCUAAUCCAUAAAAAUAUCUUAAAUCUUCCAAAAAAAACAUCACUUUGUUCUUUCUUUUUUACUAUCAAACUAUUACAUUGCACGAUGUAAAUAUGUAUGUAGAGUAAUUUUUUUUUCUUAUUCAUAUCAUGUAUACAUUUGCUCUUUAUAUCUCUCUUUACGUGAAACAUUCGGUAAGCGUACAAUAUAUGGUGAGCAUGCAAUUGAAGUAUAUCACAAUAUGUUCCCGCAAUUAAGGGGGAAGCAAGGGGACCCUAUUGCUUCCCAUAAGACUCGUUCCGCUGCCAAAACACUGCCAAAAAAAAAAAAAAAAAACUAUCCUCUUAUUUUCCUCCUACAAUUUGAGAGCUAAAACCGGAAAAUACAAAAACCAGACAAAAAGAACACACACAGAGAUCCAUCGACCACCAACCAUUCAACUAACUGGGCUUAAAAGAAACAAACAAAAACACAAACAAACAGACCCACCACCAUUGCCAAUUUUCCGAUCCAUCUGCUAGCUUUUUUGCCUUUUGAGGAGAGAUAAAAAUAAAAGAAUUGAAAGCUGGCGGGGUCAUCGUUUCUGACGGUACCAACGGUCACGGGACGUAAGGUAUCCCAUGCCAUUUUUAGUUCCUCCCUCAAAUUCUCAGAACUCAAUGUAAUUGUAAACUCGAACGUUUUACACUUUAAUGCGUACAUAACUUAGUGUAAGAUGAAAUUUGUGGGAUUAAUGCAGAAUGUGUGUGUCCUUACGACUGGCAUAUAAGUAUGAGUCGACAUACACUUACAUUUUGCAUCAAUCUCACAACCAUCUUAUGUAAAUGAUUGAUGAUUUACGGUAUUCAAGAUUUAUCAAUUUAUUGUCUAUGUAGUUUGUUGGACUUUUC